CUUAGUACUUUCUGUUUCUCUCUCCCCUCAUUUUUGCUACUUUAAUUUAUUGCCCUGCUUUUAUUUUAUAACAUAUAACUCAGGUUUCGACCUGUCUAGUAAGUGGAAUUUCAAAUUCAAGCUGAGGGCAAAUUAGUCAAUUUUUAUACAACCCUGCAUACGUGUAAAAUACCCUGCACUUAGAGGCCACAUAUCACCUCCACUAAUCUUCUACGGUUUCUAGACCUAUCGCUUAUCACUUUUUUGUUUUCCUGUUACUUCUCCUCUGUUUGAUCAUCAUUCUUGCUUCCUUUGGCUUAGCUUUUCUUCUUUAUGCCUUUGAUUAUCUUGGUGUGGUAUUUCCAUAAGUUAGAAGAAUCAAGUUAGCUUUCUGAGAAAUCUUUGAGACGUGAAGUUGGGUUUUAGCCGGUUACUUUCAAGUUCCAUUUUUUGCUCUAUUCAAGCUUAGAAUAGGAAAAACAAACUAAAGAGUUUGGCGCUUACAAGACAUUGUUCAAUGAUGGUACGAGGCUUGAGAACGAAAUAAGAAAUAAGAAGAUGUAAAGACUUUCAGUUGAGUGAUUUGUGAGAUGCCACCAGAGAACCCCAGAGCACUCCAGGUAAGGCUCGUGGUCAUUUUGUUCGUUAUCUUAGAGUCAGUUCAGCAACUUAGCAUAGCAAUUUUAAUCCUACAAAUUUCUAGAUGUGCUAUUUCUGUCCAUCAUGUUUAUGAAAUACUAUUUACAAGUAUUCUUGGAUAAAUGUAGAAAUAUAUUAUUCAAGAAUCAAGAUGCAGACCUUGAUAGCAAUAUUGUAGAUUUGGUAGAACUCUUGCCAAUUAGACGCCAGAUAGUUGAAAGAAUGAAGAAAUAAUUUAGGACUACUUAACCUCAUAUGUCGCUACACUGUGAUAGAAAAAUUAAAACAUCAUGUGAUAAUAGCUAAAGUUUCACACAGCGUUUACGUUGUAACAAAGGCUGCAGAAAUAGUAAUAGCAAAUUCUCUACAUUGACAUCUUAAGCCACAAUUGAUGUCACAAAAUUUAGACUACUCUAUUAUGGUUCAAAUCUUUCAAACUUUAUAAAUAUUUUUGCACCAUUGAUAUAAAAUUAUCUUGCUCAUCGCAAAGCCCAGAUUGAUACUACUUUAAUGUAUUUGUCAGGCUGUUACAUUUAGCUAUUGCUAGCAGUUUGACUAUUGUGAUCAAUUCUACUGUAGAGACCAUGGUUCUUGACAAUAUUAUGAACUAUGAAUAUGGGAUAUGGGAGCAACUUGGAUUGCGUAAAAAAAGGUUUGUCAGCCUUUUCCCUUUAUGAAUUAGUGUAUUGGGGAGGGUAUAGGAUAGUUUUAAUUUUACCUUCACUUCUUACUGUAAGAACUUGAGAUAGCAAUAACGACAUGGAUUAUGUUAAAACUUUUUUCUCCUCUUGUAUUUCAUUUUUUUUCCUUUUUGGUGUUCAAUCUUUUUGCCGCGUUAAAUCAGAUUUUAAGUGCAAGAGUCGUAGCACAUGAGCCCUAUCUUAGAACAAGUGAUAGAAUUAUUAUCAUCAUCUCUGGACAUACAUAUGAAACACAAGCAGCUCAAAAUCUAUAAUCAAGUAAUUGCUAUUUUUGUUUAAUCACCGUGUGUUUACUCUGUUGGAUCUUACUAUCAUUGCACCAAGUUAGACGACAUUGUGUAUGCUGGAACUCGAGCAAUGUGAUUAAGGUAUGGCUUUAAUCAAGCUUUAUAAAAAGAUAUGGUUUAAUUAAGGUGGAUUAAGGUCUAGCCUUACUCAAAUUUAACGGUGUCCUAACUCUUUAUUCUUACAAUCCCAGGAUUUUGGUCGUUUCUGGUUUCAAGGUCUUUGAGUAGAGAAGAUUUAGACGACGAUUAGUAAGUACUGUGGUGAGAGGCAAGGUCCUGGACAAAUUUAUUUGAACGAUUGUGAUCAGAAGAUGCUCCCUUCCCUCCUGCAGAUUUCUAUGCUUUUGACUCUCUUUGCAAAAACCUUUCUUCAAGGGAAGUUUAAGGACUUACAUCACGUAGCAUCCCAAUAAAGAUUUUUUGCUACACACAACCUUCAAAUAUUAGAAUUUACCUUCAAUAACUCUAGCGUUAUCUUCACUCAGUACCUUGAAAAAAGUUUGUUAUCUUUGUUUAUUUUUUCUUUGAGAUUACAAGUCUAACAAUUGAUUAUUACUUCAUAAUUGUACAGGUACUUUAUGGUCAAAAGCUGCUAAGAUGAAGGCUACAAAGAAGUCUAAAUGCAGGACAGAAUACGCACCACCAUUUCCAAUGUGUAAAUACAACCAUUUUCUGAUAUGUAAUGCAAAAAAUGCAAUCAUAGAUGUAAACAAUGUAACACUCGCCAACUAUACAAUAUACAAUAUUCAUGAAUGAA